UGUACUGUUUUCAUGAGAAAUUCUCCCUUUAGAAGAUUUUAGAAGUAACAUUUAGUAUUAAAUAUUUGUGUAGGUUCCUCAGCCCAGGAAUCUUUUUUUUUUAUUAUUUUUACUCAAUUAGGACCAGAUUCUGAUAUCUUUACUCAAGCUGAGUAGCACCUUGCUCCAUGGUAGCUGACUGGUCCUUGCCAUUAGAUACAGCAACUAUCAGGCUGCUCUAUCUUAAACCCUGCCGCCCAAAGGGAGCAUCUGGAAAUCUUCCAGAUGAAGCAACUCCCUAGAUCGGGCUGUUAGCUAGUCACAGCCUUCCUGUGCCAGAAAGGAGGGACAUAGGAACAGCUACUAUGCCCUAUACAAUCCUAAGAUUCUCCUACACAAGAAGAAUUAACCUUUUCCUGAUACUUUUUCACUGCCCAAAAGUAAAGCUGCUGUAGUGGGGAACAGAAUCUGGACCUCCAUCCAAUUUCAUCCCGUAAAGUCCUGUACACAAACUUGGUACAUAACCCAAGUUUGACUAGUUUCAGAGACGAUCGAAGAGAAAUAUGGCUGCCCUGCUAUCGUGCCACUUGGGCUAUGGAACUUGUGUGCCGGUAGGAGAACCCCCUUCAGGAUCACAGAUCUCCUUUGACCCUAUGCUGCUGUUCUCUGGGCAUCAAUGGAAGGAGAGUUUGAUUGGAGGGUGGAAGUUGAAGGCCCCUCUUCCUAAACUGGUGUCUGAUUACAUGAACAAGCAGUGUAGCCCAGCUGCAUUAAUAACCCACACUUUGCCAUAUGAUAAAAUCAAUGAAGGAUUCAAACUGCUGUGGGCAGGGAAAAGUAUUCACAGCAUCCUGUUGUUUUAAGCCCCUGAGCAAUGAGGAGUAGGGUGUGAGCAGCACAGCACUUCUCCUGCAGAAUCACCUGUCUGACUUUUUCCCCUUAGUCAAAACUUUUAUUAGUGUGUUGGUUUUACAAUAUUUGCUUCUAGAGCUGUGUAAAUUUGGCCUAUCUGAACCUGGAAACAUCUAAAUAGAUUGAGGAAUCAUUUUUGUUUUGGAUUAAGAAUUCAAACCUCCAUCCAUAGCUUUGAGGUGUGUGAAAGAGAGCAGAGCAUGUAGGAAGGAGGUUAUCCUGGAGAUGGGUCCACUUCCAAGUUAUUUGGAAUUCAACGAAAUUAACCAUUCCAUUAAGUAAUUGCACUAAGUCUUGUGGAACCUCUCCCA